rnacentral:rRNA from 1 species
UGGGGAAUAUUGCACAAUGGGCGCAAGCCUGAUGCAGCCAUGCCGCGUGUGUGAAGAAGGCCUUCGGGUUGUAAAGCACUUUCAGCGGGGAGGAAGGCGUUAAGGUUAAUAACCUUGGCGAUUGACGUUACCCGCAGAAGAAGCACCGGCUAACUCCGUGCCAGCAGCCGCGGUAAUACGGAGGGUGCAAGCGUUAAUCGGAAUUACUGGGCGUAAAGCGCACGCAGGCGGUCUGUCAAGUCGGAUGUGAAAUCCCCGGGCUCAACCUGGGAACUGCAUUCGAAACUGGCAGGCUAGAGUCGUGUAGAGGGGGGUAGAAUUCCAGGUGUAGCGGUGAAAUGCGUAGAGAUCUGGAGGAAUACCGGUGGAGAAGGCGGCCCCCUGGACAAAGACUGACGCUCAGGUGCGAAAGCGUGGGGAGCAAACAGG